rnacentral:rRNA from 1 species
GACGAACGCUGGCGGCGUGCUUAACACAUGCAAGUCGAACGGAAAGGCCCUGCUUUUGUGGGGUGCUCGAGUGGCGAACGGGUGAGUAACACGUGAGUAACCUGCCCUUGACUUUGGGAUAACUUCAGGAAACUGGGGCUAAUACCGGAUAGGAGCUCCCGCUGCAUGGUGGGGGUUGGAAAGUUUCGGCGGUUGGGGAUGGACUCGCGGCUUAUCAGCUUGUUGGUGGGGUAGUGGCUUACCAAGGCUUUGACGGGUAGCCGGCCUGAGAGGGUGACCGGCCACAUUGGGACUGAGAUACGGCCCAGACUCCUACGGGAGGCAGCAGUGGGGAAUAUUGCACAAUGGGCGGAAGCCUGAUGCGGCAACGCCGCGUGCGGGAUGACGGCCUUCGGGUUGUAAACCGCUUUCGCCUGUGACGAAGCGUGAGUGACGGUAAUGGGUAAAGAAGCACCGGCUAACUACGUG